ensembl:lncRNA
CUGGAACUCGCUUUUUCAAUGAUCCAGUGGAUGUUGACAAUUUAAUCUCUGGUUCCUCUGCCUUUUCUAAAACCUGCUUGAACAUCUAGAAUUUCAGGGUUCACGUAUUGCUAAAGCCUGCCUUGGAGCAUUUUGAGCAUUACUCUGCUAGCGUGUGAGAUGAGUGCAAUUGUGCAGUAGUUUGAGCAUUCUUUGGCAUUGCCUUUCUUUGGGAUUGGAAUGAAAACUGACCUUUUCCAGUCCUGUGGCCACUGCUGAGUUUUCCAAAUUUGCUGGCAUAUUGAGUGCAGCACUUUGACAGCAUCAAGUACAUCAUAUUCCCAAAUGUGUCUUGAACAGACAAGGACCAAAAUGCCAAAACAGACCUCAGCUAAUUUUAUUAAUCUGCCUCCCUUUGUCUCACAAUGUUGGAUCUGUUUUCAGUCCUGUUCUUGGUGGGUCUGGGAAGCAGCAUGUGAUUCAGAGAAAGCCUCCCUGGGAAGUUAGGAUGCAUGCAGGCUGGGGGUUUCCGUUGCCCCACUUCACUGCACUACGUCACUUGUGUCACUUAGCUUGGUUCAGAGGGGAAAUCCUGUGUCCCAUCCCCCUAUCAUCAGGGUUUAAGGGGAUGGGGGUGGACAAAAGCAUAAGUCGGGACCUGGGCGUUCUCAUCUGAAAGCUGAAGCUUUCUUUUUAAAUGCAGCACUGUGUUAAGUGGUAACAGACUUUGGCAGCUUCUCUGAUAGUGUUUCCAGCUGUGUCAUAGGGGUUGCCCUGGUGCCGGCCUCUGAAUUCAGUACACCUGAUUUUUGCUUCUCCUAAUUUAGCAGCUCCCUUCCUGACAGAAGUGGUCAGCACUCCUCCCCAGCACUGAGCCUUUAAUACUCAUUCCUUCUCAUUCAUUCCAUUCAUGUUUGAUGAUUCGCAAAUGUUUGACAGUGCCAAACACUCUCAGUGCUGCCAGGGACCUUAUAGUCCAACAGGAUCUGUAUGUGGUGUGUAUAUAUACACAACAGACUAUUAUAGCUGCAAGAAAGAAGGAAAUCCUGCCAUGUGCAAUAACAUGGACCUCAAAGGCAUGAAGCUAGGUGAAUAAGAGAAACAAGUCCUGUAUGAUCUCACUUACAUGUAGAAUCUAAAAGAAGCUGAACUCAGAAAAACAGGCUAGAAUUGUGGGUUGGGGAAAAGGGAAUGUUGGUCAAAGGGUACAAACUUCUAGAUUAUUUGCUGAAUAACCUCUGGGGAUCUAAUGUAGAGCAUGGUGAUUGCAGUUAAUAACUUGUGUACCUGAAAGUUGCUGCAAGAGUAAAUCUUAAAAAUAGUAAUUAUGUGAUGUAGGUAUGCGUGUGCAUGCUAAGUCACUUCAGUCACUUCUGACUCUGUGACCCUAUGGACUGUAACCCACCAGGCUCCUCUGUCCAUGGUAUCCUUCGGGCAAGAAUACUGGAGUGGGUUGACAUGCCAUCCUCCAGAGGAUCUUCUCGACCCAGGGAUUGAACUUCGUCUCUUGUCUCCAGCAUUGGCAGAGAAGUGUAUGUAGAAGUUUCUCAUGACUGCUGUGACUGUCCUGUUAUACAGCUCCCUAUGUAGCUCACCAUCUUGGAAAUUUCUCUGAGGGAAUUCUUCGGUGGUCCAUGAGAGCAGGAACUCCCUUUCUGCCCUCCACUGUAUCCAGCACCUAGCUCAAUGCCUGUCACCUACAUGGUGCUCAAUAAAUAUAUAUUGAACAAAUGAAUAAGUGCUGCUGCUGCUGCUAAGUCGCUUCAGUCAUGUCCGACUCUGUGUGACCCCAUAGAUGGCAGCCCACCAGGCUCCCCGUCCCUGGGAUUCUCCAGGCAAGAACACUGGAGUGGGUUGCCAUUUCC